UAACACUAUUCAUAUGAACAGUUUCAUCUCAAACACUGUUCAUAUGAACAGUGUUUUCACGGAACACUGUUUAUAUGAACAGUGAUUUCAGCCAUGAAUAGAAAUUUUGGGAAUAAAUAGUAAUUUCAGCUUUUGUUCAUGGGAUUGGAGGUUAAAAAGUUCUUUUUCUUUGUGAUGAAGUGAGAGUGGAAAUCUCUAUUCCGGAAGAGUGCGGGUGCUAAUCCAAAAAGGAGGGAACGUGAGG
rnacentral:lncRNA from 1 species